UCACUUUUGUAGUGCAUAUACUAAAAUUGAACCGAUACAAAGAUUAGCAUGGCCCCUGCAUAAGGAUGACACACAAAUUCGUGAAGCAUUCCAUGUUUUU
ensembl:snRNA U6 U6 spliceosomal RNA